UUGAUUUUUCGUAUUCGAUGUUGUGAACUGUCAUAUGUAUUUGUUUUAUCAAUGCAAAUUUGAUUUUCAAGAAUACAAUCUGAAAAAACUACUUCUAUCAUGUCCAAAUUAAUUGGAAUUUCUUGAAAAAAUAAUGAAGACACGAAAGUGGGGAAAAUAUUGAUUAGAUUAAAAAUAAUUAUUUCAUCAGAAUUCAAGUAUCAUUAAGAUUAAAUUACAAAUGAUAUAUCAUAAAUUGCAUCUUCAAGAAAUUGCAGCAUUAGCCACAGACAAUCUAUUACAGUAAGCCUGAAGUUUUAAGUUUGUUAAUUUUUCUGCAUUGUCUAUAAAUUUAAUGCAAUAGGCCAAGUAGCUAAAAUUUCAAGUCCUCCUAUCGUAAAAUAAGAAAGAGGACUCAGAAGAGAAAUCUGAAGUAUUCCACUAGUUUCAUUGCUCAUAUCUUUGCCUCAAUAUUACUCUCAGCAAUUGUCUGCGGUCAUCCAUGUCCAUAACACGACAGAUUGAACAGCACUGGUUUGUAGGAACUGUACGCAUCCCGCUGGUGAGAAUAGGGUUGCAACUUGUUGCACGUUGAAACGAGAAU